GACAUCUUUGUUCCUUCCUACAAUAUCAUGAGUUAAAUCAAAUGAAAGAUUUAAUGAAGACCAUGGCAGAAAUAUUCAGAAAAUAGGAAGUUGAUGAGUAAUGGAUGUGAAAACACAUCACACUGUGAAGCAUGCUAACAAUAAUGUUGAUACCAAAUUUCAGUGUGCUCAGAUUCAUAGUUCCUGAGAAUGUUGUGAUGAAAAUUGCAUACAUGGUA